GUGCUCACUUCAGCAGCAAAUAUGCUACAAUUGGAAUGAUACAGAGAUUAGCAUGGCCCCUGCACAAGGAUGAAAAGCAAAUUUGCAAAGCACUCCAUAUUUUU
ensembl:snRNA U6 U6 spliceosomal RNA